GGGCAGGUGGGGCGGGCGGGCCCUGUCUCCCCGCGCGCGAAGCACGACGGGAGCUGUAGUUUUUCCCUCAGGAAGCUGCCGGCAGGGGCACUACGGGUCGCUGGCCGCACUACAGAUCCCAGCGGCCAGCGCUCAGCAGGGGUGGGGUUCCAUCUCCUCUGCCCCCCCAUUCGCUGUUGAAGCCCCGGGCCCACGGGAGCGGAGUCCGGCUGCCUGAGGGGAUCCCGGCGAGAUACGUAUGUGAAGCUCCCUCAGCAGCCGCCGAGAGCCGGUAGGCAGCGUGUCCAUCGCUUCUCUGGAAUCAAGAGGAACCUAAGCGUCACUGAGCCAUGAGCUGGCAGUGGCCCUUGUGGCCAAGAGCGCCAGUGAUAUCCUGGGUUGCAGCAGGAAGAGCGUUGUCAGCAGCUCGAGGGAGGUGAUCCUGCCCCUCUAUUCAGGGCUGGUGAGGCCACAUCUGGAGUGCUGUGUCCAGUUUUGGCCUCCUCGGCACUAAAGAGACAUGUAGCUCCUGGAGCAGCUCCAGUGGAGGGCAACAAAGAUAAUGAAGGGGCAGGACUGUUACCAGGGAAAACUGAGGGAGUUCGACCUGUUCAGCCUUGAGAAAAAACAAUUUGGAGGGGACCUCGCCGAUGUCUAUAAGUAUCUGAAGGAGGGAGGAUGCCAAGAGGAUGAAGCCAGGCUUCAGUGGUGUCAAGCAAUAGGGUAAGAGGCAACAGGAAGAAACUGAUUCACAGGAAGUUCCACCGGGAUAUGGGGAAGAACUUUACUGUGCAGAUGACCAUGCACUGGAACAGAUUGCCCAGAGAGGUUGUGGAGGCUCCCUUGCUGGAGAUAUUCAAGCACCAUCUGGACACAGUCCUGUGCUGUGUGCUCUGGGAUGAUCCUUCUGGAGCAGAGAGGUUGGAUCAGGUGACCCACUGUGGUCCCUUCCAAUCUAACCCAUUCUCUGAUUCUGAGAUUCUUUUGGCCGUGAUUAAAGGAUAGAUAUGGCCAAAUGAGUUGUGAGAUUACCCUUGUCAGAGAGGGAGGUCAGCAAACACCACAAGUCAUCAGUCUCACUGGGAGCUGACACAGCCCCACAGGUGGGGACAUCUGGGCCACCUUCCAUAUGAUGUUACUGCUGACUGAAUUCCAUGUCCUCAGUUCACAUGAGAACAGCCACUGGCUUCAGCUUCAUCCAGCGUAACAAACCUGACCUCCUGAGAGGAGAUACUCACUCCUCUCUACCACUUUCUGGAAUGAGAGGGAAAUGGAGAUGGAUGAAAUACUCUGGAUGCUGCUUGAGGUGACCUGUGCCUAGGAACAUAUCUCCAUCUCAAGAAGCAUCCUGUUUACAGUAACGUUAUAAGGAAUUUUGUGGGGUUUUUUUGCCUCUUACAAUACAAGUUUCUGUUAUGUUGAGCACCUGCGUAAUUUGAAUCCCUUUCAGAAUUGCUCAUCAACAGGGGAAUUUGUUUCAGUCAGAAGCAGGGCCGAUUCAUUCCCACAGCCUCAAGCAUAAUCCCCGGCCUAUUGGACACAUUAAUACUGUGGCAGCGUGCCACCUGCUCCAUUUAUUCACUUGAGACUCAAUGCUGCUUAGUCCCUGUCGAAUGAGCUCUUUGUGCCACCUCCUGCGGUAAUGUAAAAGGUCCCCCACAGGAAUUUGUGCUAUUCAGUGGAAGCUACAAAAGGGAGGGUUGUAAACACUCCGAUUAGUGUUGGAGCACAGGGAUAUUGUCCUCUCCACGUAUUACAUAACCUUGUAACUUUUAGUCUCCCUCCUCCUCUGCAGAAGAAACAGUGUAACAGCAAGGGCUCACCAGGCUAUUUAACUUAACAUCACAGCUAAUGUGUUUCUUUUUUCGUUAUAUAUAAAGGCCACCUUACUCUUGGCAAAAGAAGAGAGAAGGGUUCGUUCUGUAACAUCCCGUAGUAAUUACAGAUGGCUGCCCAUGAGGAUCUCCACUUGAAGUGACAGUGGCCAGAGGCUCUCAGCUCUGAAGAAUGUGUAUUAUUAGAGGCCACUGCCAACAAAAGUUCAUGCACAAUGGGCCCAUCAGCUAAUGAACCCAGAAUGAAUCUUACCCCAGAUUUUGAGGACAAACAAGUGAUUGUGUGCAGUGCUGACUAUACCAAUUUACUGCCAUAUGAAACACAUUUGGAUGAUUUCUGACUUGCAAAAUUCACUGUGGUCUGGGGCCAACUUACACAGACUGAGGAACUUUCUUACACCCUUAGCUUGCCCCACAUUCAGUCCGUAAAUUCUUACUGCUUUAAAGACAAAGUAAAGGGAGGAUUCUGAGGUGGCAAGAUCUCUGCUUGGAAUAUCAGUCUCACUGAUGUUCCUGAACUUCAUAAAAGUAAUAAAAUAAUAAUGGAGGGGAGCUUCAGAAAGCAUCUGGUCAGGGAAAGAAAAGGGAAAAGGCAUAGCUGUGUUAAUGAAUAAUUCCUACUACUACUUCAAGAAACCGGUUCUGAGGUUGAGUUUGUCUUGGAAAGAUAGGAGUCUCCAUGGGCUGUACCAUUCUGGGAUAACUUCAGACACGCUGUGUAAUUCUCCUUAGCAAUAAAGGAAUACACAGCAGACAUAAAAAGAUUUAGCUUAGGAAAGAAACUAGAUGGCCACAUACUGAAGCAAACAAGUGAAACAAUAAGAGCUGGAAGAUAUAACAGGAAAACCUAGAAGUCAUAAACUGAUUGCCUUUGGGGGAGAAGGCCAUGCCAUCGACUGCUGCCAGCACACCAUGUUGGAGGGAAGCAUGCAAGGAGCCACAGAAGAACCACAAAAUGGAGGAGGCACAGCACUGUGAAGAAAACAUAAGGCAUCUGUGUUCCUGCUCACAGGAAUAUUCUUUCAAAUCCCUGAUUGUCACAGCCCUGAAGACAACUGCUUAAGGGUGUCUCCAUUUGUAAGACCUGCCCACAAGCCUAGCAGCAUUUUUGGGGAGAAGGGUAAAGCCAUGUUCUGUUUCUUCCACUGCAGGCUAUGCUUUACUGCCACUGAGCACACACAUACAUGUUCACAGACCCUCCCUCUCUUCCAGUGGUUCGAACACUUGUCAGCUUGUUAAAGCAGUGACACGAUUAUGUGACUGAACUUUGCAUGGGCAGGAGCCAUCGGGCUCCAGGAACUUCCUCAGCUAACCUCACUGUGCCCAUGUUCAUAAGGCUCUUCAGUCCCAACCUACUACCCCUCCACCUUUUGAUUAUGGCUUCCCCACUGAGCUCAGCAAAACAGUAUUAGAAACAAUGCUACCCCAUGGCUCACACAACAUCCAACACUAUUCCCCAGCUGUCCUGCUUCCACCAUAAUAAAUAUCAACGAUAAAAAUCAAGGCUAGAUGCUAAUUUUUCUUUCCACCUCCUCUGUUCUCAAUGCUCAAAUCAUCAAUGUUUCUAUAAGCAAAAUUUCAUAUGACUUUUGAGAAAGCAGAGCACUACAAAGUUAUCUACACUGUGACCAAGAAAAGAGACUCUUCAGCAGGCUUAUGUAUUUAGAUACUUAAAAAGUAUAGGAACAGGAUGUGGAAAUUUUCUCUUUUCCAGUUCUUUACUGGUCACUCAGAUGGAGAAGGCAUAGCCAAUGAUUACAAGAAUAGCUCUGACAUUUAUUUCUGUUUUAAGUGUCUGCUAAGGCCUGAAAGCCAGUGGCAUUUGGUAACUAUUUCCAAAUAUAACUGUUGGUUUUGGACUGUCAUCAUUCCAGUAAGAGCUCUCUCAACCUAAUCUCUAAUAUGUUCCUAGUAAAAGAAAUGAAGGAGACUUUUGACUAAGAAAAAAUGGCAGCGUUAUGUAUUUGUCUGUGUUGUUGAACUCAAAACUGCUCCACGCCCUUGAGAUGCAAUUCAAAUUCCAAGUUUAAUCCAAAACUAUCAUUAGCCCAUCCUGUUGGUACGGCAGAAAAGGAUUGUCAGGGAGCAGUCAAUUGGGUUGCAGUACCUAAGUACAGUGGGAUAUAUUCAAACAUUAUUUUUUUCCCUGAAUUUAAUUUGUAACUGUAAGUACUGUAGUGUUUACACACAGGGCUUUUUGUGGCUUUCCAUUUUACAUGGUUUUGUAGAUUAUUCUCAUAACGGCAAGCAAGCAUUUUAAUAACAUCAAAGACGCAUGAAUGAGAUGCUUUCUGCCCAUCUGGUUUCCUAGUUCUGGAAUUAAUUUAUUUUUCUAAUGUGCCUUAGCCAAAGGAAAUUAGAAAAGUUGCCAUUAUGGUUCCAUUUAAUCAGCAGCAGUCCUACUCAGAAACACAAGUAGGUCAAUGGUUCACACUGGUACGGAAAAGCAGCGUGUCCAUCAAUUAGGGUAUCUUUUAUUGAUAAGAUAAAAGGGCUAUCACAACAGCAACAUAUGGGAUUACGAAUAUCUGAAGUGUAUGUUGGGAAGGAAGCAAAGCAUUAAUUGCACUAAUAAAAUAAAUCAGAUGCUCUUUUUCCCCUAUUAA